GAUGAACGCUGGCGGCGUGCCUAAUACAUGCAAGUCGAGCGAACAGACGAGGAGCUUGCUCCUCUGACGUUAGCGGCGGACGGGUGAGUAACACGUGGAUAACCUACCUAUAAGACUGGGAUAACUUCGGGAAACCGGAGCUAAUACCGGAUAAUAUAUUGAACCGCAUGGUUCAAUAGUGAAAGACGGUUUUGCUGUCACUUAUAGAUGGAUCCGCGCCGCAUUAGCUAGUUGGUAAGGUAACGGCUUACCAAGGCAACGAUGCGUAGCCGACCUGAGAGGGUGAUAGGCCACACGGGAACUGAGACACGGACCAGAGUCCUACGGGAGGCAGCAGAAGGGAAGCGUCCGCAAUGGGCGAAAGCCUUACAGAGCAACGUCGCGUGAGUGAUGAAGGUCUUCGGAUCGUAAAACUCUGUUAUUAGGUAAGAACAAAUGGGUAAGUAACUAUGCACGUCUUGACGGUACCGAAUCAGAAAGCCACGGCUAACUACGUG
rnacentral:rRNA from 1 species